GCCCAGACAGCACAUGUACGUCUGGCCGACGUCGGCCCAAUAUCGAAACGUCGGCCUCUAUACCUAAAACAUCUAUAAAACAUCGGCCUGGCGGAGGCCGAUAUAAUUUGGUCAGUGCUCUGUUCUCCAGCUCAUCAAUCGUCGGCCCUGAGUUGGUUCACGACCGCGGGCCGAUGCCGCGCUUAUCUGUGUGCGCGUGCCCAGUAUUCAUCUCUUUUAGCCACCCAGAGAGAGAGAAGAGGAUAAUCCCAGCGACAUCUGUGGCUCUGAGGCUUCCAGAAAUAAUCCGGUGAAAUAAUAUGAUGUUUGUUUGUGUGAAUGCUGUGUGUGCGUUGAGUCCUGCGCGAGCGGGGAGCAGAGUUGCCAUGGAAACGGGGCAUCAACACAAAAACCGUUACUGGCAAGCAGUAAUCUCCGUCUCUCGCUGCAGUUUACACUGUUUUGGGAGGACAGAAAGAAACUCUACAGAACAGAAGUGAAGCUCCAAGAUUUCAACAUUUCUGAA